UAACAGGGGUAGCUUGCUACCCGCUGACGAGCGGCGGACGGGUGAGUAAUGCAUAGGAAUCUGCCCGAUAGUGGGGGAUAACCUGGGGAAACCCAGGCUAAUACCGCAUACGUCCUACGGGAGAAAGGGGGCUUUGGCUCCCGCUAUUGGAUGAGCCUAUGUCGGAUUAGCUAGUUGGUAAGGUAAUGGCUUACCAAGGCAACGAUCCGUAGCUGGUCUGAGAGGAUGAUCAGCCACAUCGGGACUGAGACACGGCCCGAACUCCUACGGGAGGCAGCAGUGGGGAAUAUUGGACAAUGGGGGCAACCCUGAUCCAGCCAUGCCGCGUGUGUGAAGAAGGCCCUCGGGUUGUAAAGCACUUUCAGCGAGGAAGAACGCCUGUCGGUUAAUACCCGGUAGGAAAGACAUCACUCGCAGAAGAAGCACCGGCUAACUCCGUGCCAGCAGCCGCGGUAAUACGGAGGGUGCAAGCGUUAAUCGGAAUUACUGGGCGUAAAGCGCGCGUAGGUGGCUUGAUAAGCCGGUUGUGAAAGCCCCGGGCUCAACCUGGGAACGGCAUCCGGAACUGUCAGGCUAGAGUGCAGGAGAGGAAGGUAGAAUUCCCGGUGUAGCGGUGAAAUGCGUAGAGAUCGGGAGGAAUACCAGUGGCGAAGGCGGCCUUCUGGACUGACACUGACACUGAGGUGCGAAAGCGUGGGUAGCAAACAGGAUUAGAUACCCUGGUAGUCCACGCCGUAACGAUGUCGACCAGCCGUUGGGUGCCUAGAGCACUUUGUGGCGAAGUUAACGCGAUAAGUCGACCGCCUGGGGGAGUACGGCCGCAAG
rnacentral:rRNA from 1 species